rnacentral:misc_RNA from 1 species
AUUCUCUUUUCGUUAUGUCGACUUUUAUGUCGAUGUCACGCAAGAUAACCUCCGACACGGUUGCAACUUGGCCUUAUGUUUUAUCAUUAUACGAUAUACAUAAAUACCGUACAUCGCAAUAUUGACAGCAGUCUAUAGCUGGCCGAGUGCGAAAUAUUAAUCGAUGAUCGGAAACCAUUAUAGUGGAAAAGGAAGCGACUCGUGAACCGAAACAUGAAAGGACCGAUUUUGCUUCUCUUCACUAUUGUCGCUGCCACAAUGAGCUUCGACAUAAAUUACAUACACAAUAUAAUAUCUAUUACCAAUCUGACCAUGGAAGAGUUUCUGUCAUGCAUCAACAAGACACAUAUAAGAUUUGAGGAUAUAAUGCACGUUGAUGCAAUUAUCGAAGAUAAUCUGGAGAUUGAUUUCGAUGACGUGGCUCUUAAAGUUGGUUGCCUGUUCAACUGCAUAUUCGAAAAGAAGGAAAUAAUGACGGGUGCGCAUAUAAAUGUGAACAAGAUAAAGGAGAUAAUGCGUACCAUAAUUGGUGAGGAAGAACAUAACUUAAAGAUACUUGACCCACAUUUCCAAAUACUGGACACUUGUAGCAAUUGGGUUAAAAGUAUAAUUAACAAGUGCGAAGUAAGUCUCAAAUUUAUGACAUGCGGAGCACAUAAAUCGCAAAGAUAUUAAAUUACAUCAAUUUCUAAAAUAUGGACGACUAUCAAACUAUCAUCCUUGCGAACAAUUAGUUGGUAACCUAAAUCUAUCACGGAAAAGGAAGUGAUUCCUAAAUUAAAAUAUGAAAGGAACGUUCCUGCUCCUCUUCACGCCCAUCAUUGCGGCGCAGAGAUCGUCGCAACCAUGAUCAUGAAACUCGAAUCGAAUUCAACCGUUACAAAUAUCAUGUCAAUCACAAGCAUCAAUGUAUAAAGAUCGAUUGAUAUAGAAUAACUGUCAUACAAAAAUAAAGUUACAGGAGGAAGAGACGCAGGGACAACAAUAUGAGGCGACUAAUGUUAUUAUUAAGAAUCACGAACAGUAGUAGUAUUGAUCGCGACAGGAUGCGGGCGAGCUACAUAAUAUUAUUUAAAAAUAAAAUUUUAUCCAAAAUGUUAUUUAAAAAUAAAAUCAAACAUGCAUGUGCAAUCUUGAAAUCGCAGCUAUCGUAUCAGUACACGUGAGUCUCUGAGACUCAUAACGUGUGUUUCAUAUAAUAAGUUCGUCUGUAUUAUAAGAGAUAUACUUUUAUAGAACUUUCUUGCAUCUUAAAUCUGUGUUUGAUAAAAAGAUGAUAAUAAAAAUAAUCAUUCAAAGACAUAUUAAUCCUUCGACUUAACAUGAUGUUCAAAGACAUAUUAAUCCUUCGACUUAACAUGAUGAACCCAAACUAGAACUUGGACUUGAAAAUAGUAACACAUGUAUGCACAUAUGUAAAGAAGUAUGUGUAACUCAGUAAUUGUUUACAAUAUUGUUUUACCAAUAUUUGAUUUAUAAAACCACGUAUUUGUUAAAAAGACUCUUUCAGGCAAUUUUACAGAUAAAAUUAGACGCUAGUGCAUUCAAAUUCUCUUAAUUUCAUUUUUGUCUGACGAUGUAUUCACGCGAGUAGAAACACUAUUUGCCGGGGCUCG